rnacentral:tRNA from 1 species
UUAUACUUGGGUGUGACAUAUAAAUUUUUGAAAUUUAAGAUUUUAAUUGGAUUUAAAAAGUAUA